ACUCAAAUGAAUUGACGGGGGCCCGCACAAGUGGUGGAGCAUGUGGUUUAAUUCGACGCUACGCGAAGAACCUUACCCGGGUUUGAAUUGCAGUGGUUGUAGUCGGCAGAGAUGUCGGCGACCCCGCAAGGGGGCUGCUGUGAAGGUGCUGCAUGGCUGUCGUCAGCUCGUGCCGUGAGGUGUUGGGUUAAGUCCCGCAACGAGCGCAACCCUUGUCUUUAGUUGCCAGCAGGUUAAGCUGGGCACUCUGGAGAGACUGCCGUCAUAAGACGGAGGAAGGUGGGGAUGACGUCAAGUCAGCAUGGCCCUUACGUCCGGGGCUACACACGUGCUACAAUGGUCGGUACAACGGGCAGCGAGACCGCGAGGUGGAGCGAAUCCCUUUAAAGCCGGCCUCAGUUCGGAUUGCAGGCUGCAACUCGCCUGCAUGAAGUUGGAAUCACUAGUAACUGCAGAUCAGCUACGCUGCGGUGAAUGCGUUCCCGGGCCUUGUACACACCGCCCGU
rnacentral:rRNA from 1 species